AGUGAACGCUGGCGGUAGGCCUAACACAUGCAAGUCGAACGGCAGCACAGUAAGAGCUUGCUCUUACGGGUGGCGAGUGGCGGACGGGUGAGGAAUACAUCGGAAUCUACUUUUUCGUGGGGGAUCACGUAGGGAAACUUACGCUAAUACAGCAUACGACCUACGGGUGAAAGCAGGGGAUCUUCGGACCUUGCGCGAUUGAAUGAGCCGAUGUCGGAUUAGCUAGUUGGCGGGGUAAAGGCCCACCAAGGCGACGAUCCGUAGCUGGUCGGAGAGGAUGAUCAGCCACACUGGAACUGAGACACGGUCCAGACUCCUACGGGAGGCAGCAGUGGGGAAUAUUGGACAAUGGGCGCAAGCCUGAUCCAGCCAUACCGCGUGUGUGAAGAAGGCCUUCGGGUUGUAAAGCCCUUUUGUUGGGAAAGAAAAGCAGCAGGUUAAUACCCCGCUGUUCUGACGGUACCCAAAGAAUAAGCACCGGCUAACUUCGUG
rnacentral:rRNA from 1 species